rnacentral:rRNA from 1 species
UGCGUAGGCGGUUUUGUAAGUUAGAGGUGAAAAUUCGGUGCUUAACGCCGGACCUGCCUCUAAUACUGUGAAGCUAGAGAGUAGUUGCGGUAGGCGGAAUGUGUAGUGUAGCGGUGAAAUGCUUAGAGAUUACACAGAACACCGAUUGCGAAAGCAGCUUACCAAGCUAUAUCUGACGUUGAGGCACGAAAGCGUGGGGAGCAAACAGGAUUAGAUACCCCCGUA